UGCACCGAUUCCCGUCCCAUCGCCGGAGUUAAGUAAUGUCGAGCCCGGUUAGUAUCUAGAUGGGUUACCACUUGGGAAUACCAGGUGCUGUAAG